CGGGGGUGGUACAUAGCUCCCCUCUCCCAAGUGAUAAACAUGUAUUCCAUAACCUAGAUAAUAGACGAUUUUAAGAUUGAAUUAAAAAAAAAUCCACUGGGGUCCAUAGUCCAUGCUAAAUGGUGUACAUGUUGUGUGUUUGUCAUUUCAGCCAUAUACACAGUACACAGUGAAACGCAACAUUGUUCCUCCAGGACCAUGGUACAACACAAAGAACAAGAGAACAAAAACAACACAAGACUACACAAGUGCAGGCAGCACAGAACUCUACAGAGUGCAGUGAGAGCAAAGAGACAGAGUGCAAGCACAUGGAUAUAUAAAAUGACAGUCUGGGACAUGGUGUUGAUCCCAUCCAGCGUGUCCCCCAGCUUCAUGCUCUAUGCUGCCGAGGACAGCCCACCCCCCCCCGCCAGGAUAUGUGGCCACCCUGCAGCUAUUUCUCCACAUUUGUGAGAAGGCUGCCCAUGCUUCAUAGCAUCGAAUGAGAGUCGGCGAGUGCCGCAGUCUUCAGACACUACGCAUGUUUUUGUCCCCCUGCCCCAAGCUGCCACUUGGUCCCACUUUGCCCUCAGUCAUCCUCCUGCGAACCGUCUGGCUCCAGCCAAUUAAUCUAGGGGUGGCAGAACUAAUUAUGCAUUGAUGCCAAGGCUCUUGCAUUUGCGUCAGACACAACUGCAAGGUUCUUUGAGACAAAAUAUCGUUCCUCAUUGGUUAUAGUGCGAUAUAUACAAGACAUAUAAACAUGAGCCAUAUUCAGACAUGACAGAAUUCAGACACAGAAAUCCAGACACAGAAUUCAAGGCGUAAGUCAGUAAAAUAUAGUUAAUAACAGAUGGCACGAGUGUGCAAUCGGACAAUGGGAUCGAAUGAAAAAGUAGGAGGAAUGUGCAUUAAAUAGACAAAAUUGAUUUUAGUUUGCAGAGUAUCAUCUUUAUCCAUUAGUGCAGUGGGUCUCUGCUUCCUCAUUGGAUGUAGAAUAGGCAAUGUGUGAAAUGCAUUACAGUUGGAUUUUGCAGUAUGAUACUCUGCAGUGCCUUGAUUCAGUUAUUUCUGCCCUUCUGUCAUUCUGCGUGAGGAAAAUACUGACGCAGUGAUUAUCGCUCCAUUGAAUCACUUGACCAGGAUAAUAAAAGAAAUGGGAAGUGAUUUCAAUAGCUGGACUGGCAUAAUCUUCUGAGUUAGCCAUGAUAGCAUUAGCGUUCUGCCAUCUACGGCAGCAAGGGUGCAGUGCUCAAGUGCAGUUACCUUCAGGGUCACGUUAUGCAGUGGCCUGCUUCCUGAAGGUAAUGACUGUUUUAUUUCGGGUCAGGGGGGUAUAUGAGAGGUAUGUAGCAUUUUGUACCUGUAGCUUGUGUCAUGAAGCAGAUCAGUCCUCUUUAACCUUGUACCUCAGCACUAAUGAUGACACCGUGCCGCAUGAGACACUCCUUGUAGACGCGCUCCCAUUCCCAGCCUCUGGAUGUUAGCCAGCUCUAGUUCCUCUUAGUGAUUUGUGUAAUACUUCACCUUUGCAUAUCAAGAUCUGUAAUCGUACUUACCGUCUGCAAUGAUAUAUUAGUCCGGCACAGCUUAUGUAUUCAGCUCAUAUACUCCCACAGUCCUGGUAAGAACACGAUGGGCGGCAUCUUCUGAGGCAGCGCCAACUUAGCAAUCAAAGUUAGGCGGAUAUGCAUGUAUGCGUCUGAGACGAAGUGAAGUUUGCCUUGGGUGGCACAGGCUUCCACCAGCACAGGUGCUCACAGUAAUCAUCAUUUUACCCGCUAAUUAUACCUUCUUCGUAUUUGAAAGAAUUCCGAAAGAGUAGCCAGUCAAUUCAAGUCGAUAACAGCUCAAAUGUGGCCCCCAGCUCUGUGUGUGUUUGCAUCUUCCCCUGGUGUCCUUCAGGAUUUGCUCUGACUAUUACAGUCAUCCCAAAAUCCAGAGUUGUGGUUUAGGUGGAUUUGUGAGUCUAAAUUGGCUUUUGCCCUGUGGAUCACCUUCCCCUAUAGAGCGUGCCUGAGAUUGGCGUGCUGCAAUCAUGCACAGUAAGCAAUAAAUAGAAAUGAAUGUGUCUAAUGCACCUUCUUAUGGGCUGUAAAGCUGCACGUAUUCCUCACGUAGCAUUCGCUACAUCAUAUUUGGUUCAGUAGACAAAAUGAAAAGAAUGAAUACAGUUAUUGACACGGGUGGAAGCUAAAUUCACAAGUAGAGGAUCAACGUGAAAAUAAUUACGCUAACUGUGAAUUGGUUACAGCUAAUGCUGGCUACAGGCAGCCAUAAUCGGCGGUUUAAGAACAAUUUGGUUUCAAACUGUUUUUGGCAAAGUUGUCAUUUCCUUAUCUUUUAGAUGUAUUUGGGCUCACUCUCUCAUUUUAAUGGCAAAACUUGCCUAGUAUAUAUAGGAUUUUUUUUUUACUAAUUGCACUAUUAUAUAUUAAAUAAAUUUAUC